GUGUAUAUUGCAUUCGCAGCAAUCCUUGAAAAUCUGGAGGUCCAAGGACUAGUCUAUCUGCAUACUGCAUCCAAUAGUACUCAUAACCACAUCAACUCUUCAAGGUCAACAGCCUCUAAGUGAAGCAACAUAAGCAAGGGAAGUUGGCAAAAUGGAUAUAUAACCUCUGAAAAAUAUUGGCUCUCAUACCACUUUGAACUACCACGUCUAAAAUCAUAAGCUGAGGCUUUCAAGAUGAGGUAGUUCAAUAUAUAUUAUGUUGAGGAAAGAAAUGCAAAUUUAAGCUCAAGGCUCCAAUGAUCACCCAAACGCUGAAGUGAACAUCAAAAGUAAAAAUAAAAAAUCUUAAGUUUCCAGUUUGAAUGCAAAGCUAGUAAAAAAUAAAAAACAGGGCAUGGGGUAGAGUAACAGUAGUCAUUGCAGGAAAUAACGAUGAAAAAUGUUUAAACAGAUCAAAUUUAAUUCUAUCUUCUUCCACUAUUUUUCUCCUCUUGCUUUCCGGCAUUAAAGCAAACAAAUAACAAGCAUGGAAAACGAGACCCAGAUAAAUAAUAAAUUUACCAGUCGAAAGAACACCCGGGACGCGAGAGAGUUGGGGCAUGUCAGUGGGGAUCGACUGAACCAACCAAGCUUUGCAAUGCUCAUUAUGAUCACUAGAUUCACUACCAGUAACUUUACUUUCAUCAGACGAAGUGUGUGAAAAUGAGUAAGCAAUUAUAGCGAAAUUACAGAUUACAAGAUAACAGACGAUUAGAAGAAAAGGGCCUGUUAGAAUUUUCAUCUUUUCUUUGAAUAAAUUGAAUUCUUUGACACGAUUAUUAAAGGAAAGAUUUGCUGGUUGAAAAAACUGAACGUAAUUUCUUCCGUGUAUGGUUGACUUUUUCUUUCAUGGCACGAGAGCCCAGGACAAAUCCUUCUGAUCUGCCGACGCUGGAAUCUUGAAUUACACACCGGAUAUUUUGUAAUACAUCCGUCCACAAGUUAAAUGGUCAAAAAUAAAAAAUUAUAUGACAAUCCUAUAAUUGGGAUGCUAAUGACAGACUGUAAUUUGCUGAGUUACACUUCGUUCCCAGCCACGUUGUCCAAAAAUUCUUCAAACUCAUUUUUAACUAAAACUUUUAUUAGUUUUCGAUCUACUCUUGUAUGAGUUUUGAUAUAUAUGUUCAUAGACCAAGAAAUCCGUUAAAUUUUGAUCAAAACAAUGGAUAGGUCUUUUAACAAC
rnacentral:lncRNA from 1 species